UACGAAGGGGGCUAGCGUUGCUCGGAAUCACUGGGCGUAAAGGGUGCGUAGGCGGUUCUUUAAGUCAGGGGUGAAAUCCUGGAGCUUAACUCCAGAACUGCCUUUGAUACUGGAGAUCUUGAGUUCGGGAGAGGUGAGUGGAACUGCGAGUGUAGAGGCGAAAUUCGUAGAUAUUCGCAAGAACACCAGUGGCGAAGGCGGCUCACUGGCCCGAUACUGACGCUGAGGCACGAAAGCGUGGGGAGCAAACAGG
rnacentral:rRNA from 1 species